GUAGGUGAACCUGCGGAAGGAUCAUUAACACUUUUAUCCAAUAUAAAAAACAAAACGUGAACUUUUCCCCUCCCUAUAUUAAAAAAAUCUUUAACCGGGUUUUUUUAUGUAGGCUAACAUUUUAUUUUUAUUAAACCACUUUAAAUUUUUAUAAGUCCUUUUGUAAAAAAAAGACUUGACUAACUAAAAAUUUUACUUAAGAUGUCAAAUGUUGAUCUCUUAAUUAGUAUUUUUUCUAUACGAAAUAAAUAUUACUAUAUAAGAACAACUCUUAGCAAUGGAUAUCUUGGUUCUC
rnacentral:misc_RNA from 1 species